rnacentral:rRNA from 1 species
AACCAAGAUGGCUAAGUCAUAUAUACCACGGUAAAAAGACAGUUAAAUAAUUUUUGUUAGCAUAAAAAAUACUUAUAAAGAGGUAAAAUUUGUAUAUUAGUAUGUAAUUCAAUUUUAGCUUAAUUAUUGAAGCUGUAACAACCUUGAGGGAAACUGGGAUUAGAUACCCCAUUAUUCUAGGAUAUAAAUUAAUUUUUAAUAAUUUACCAGAGUACUAUGAAUUAAAAUAAAAAGUUUAAAACUCAAAGGGCUUGGCGGUGUUUUAGACCCCUCAGGGGAACCUGUCUCAUAAUCGAUAAUCCACGUUAUACCUAACCUUUUUUUGCUGCCAGUUUGUAUACCGUCGUCGUCAGGUAACUUUUGAAAAACUAGAAGUUAGCAAAAAAAUUAUAUAUAUUUCUACGUCAGAUCAAGGUGCAGUUUAUAAAGAGGUGAGGAUGGGUUACAAUUGUUAAAUUACAAUUACGGAAUAAAUAUUUGAAUAAAUAGUUAUGAAGGAGGACUUGGAAGUAAUUUUCAUUAUAAAAAUAUCUUGAAUAAGGCUCUGAAAUGUGC